rnacentral:rRNA from 1 species
ACUCCUACGGGAGGCAGCAGUAGGGAAUAUUGCACAAUGGGGGAAACCCUGAUGCAGCCAUGCCGCGUGUGUGAAGAAGGCCUUCGGGUUGUAAAGCACUUUCAGUAGGGAGGAAGGUAGUGUAGUUAACACCUGCAUUAUUUGUACGUUACCUACAGAAGAAGCACCGGCUAACUCCGUGCCAGCAGCCGCGGUAAUACGGAGGGUGCGAGCGUUAAUCGGAAUUACUGGGCGUAAAGCGCAUGCAGGCGGCUUGUUAAGUCAGAUGUGAAGGCCCGGGGUCUUAACCUCGGAAUUGCAUUUGAAACUGGCGAGGCUAGAGUCUUGUAGAGGGGUUAGAAUUUCAGGUGUAGCGGUGAAAUGCGUAGAGAUCUGAAGG